rnacentral:rasiRNA from 1 species
GGAAUAAGAACACGUCGACGAUGA